rnacentral:lncRNA from 1 species
GCUAGCGUUUGAGAAAGAAACCUGAUUCAACUUUUGAUCAAAUAGAGACAUCAGUUCUGGCGCUGGAACUGUUGGGACAACGAUUACCUGAAGUCACGACUGACCCUCAAACCGGACAGAUGCCUGCUGGGCGUUGACUCAUCAUCUACAGCUGGGAGAGUGGAUCAGAGCGAACUCGCCCACAAGUGAGAGAAAGAAGAAAAAGAGGGGGUUAACUCGGGAACGCCCACGCAUCGUUUGGCUUGGAUUACCCCAUAUGGUACGACCCCCAUCCCUCCCCUCACAUCCACCACUCACGCUGAAAAAUUGAUUGAAAAAUAAUCUUGUGUUAUAACGAGUGUUGUGAACGAGACGACUACAAAACUCAAUUUGCCAUCCAGAUAAAUCGACGCCAAAGUCACGCCUGGUUUUUAUUUUUCAUGUAAUUAAAACUAUUUUCUAUAAACUCCCCCAUCUCCCCACCCACCCAGCUGAAGCGACGUAGUCUGCGAACCACGUCCUGCUAUAUCACGACCAAGGGUAUCCUCCGCUGUCUUUUGGCUUAUAUAACGAUGAGCUCUGAGAUUCGUGGAAGCACACGCGCAACAUCUGAAGUGAGCAGUAGAGACACAGAAGCUCACCAGUGGGACAAAUAGUGGAGACAAGAUGCACCGGCAUUGGCAGCUCGUGGGACUAGCCUCUCUUCUUCAAUUCUCCUCGGCGUUUCUGCUCGAUUCAGCGACUGUCCAUCAGAAUCCGUCCUCCAGAAUUCAGAAAUCUACAACACCGUUUCUCCCCGUACCACCAACUCUGCCACCGAGGAAGGUUACCCAAGAGCUACUACAACCACCAACCAUAAGUCACCAAGCAGUUACAACAAACAAACC